rnacentral:lncRNA from 1 species
AAGACAUCUCAUCAGGAUGAACUGGGGCAAGGCAGCCUCCAGAAACACACCUGGGUCUCUGGGCAGUCAUCUGCAGGCGAUUGCCUCCAGGUGUUUGCCAGUGGGAACCCAUUGAAAGUCGAUGCAAUUUAGAGCAAUUUCUCUGGCAGUGGAAAUUAACCUGCAGGAAUCUGCCGGCAACAGGUGUAUUUUAGGGCAGACAUACCAGCGUCCUGCACUGUGGAGACAGGACUUUGACUACCAGGUGUAGUGCAGAAGGCUGGAUAAUUGGAGGAGGCAGAAAAUUAGUGCAGAGAAGAUGGCCAAAUUGCAGGUCAGCAUGGUUUGGUGUAAUUAUUGGUUAACCCUCUCCUGUCUGUUAACCAAAAACUACUUGUGUGUUUGAGGAACCAGGAAAUCUGCACUGAAGGGACAAGAAUUAUCACUCCCUGCCCAAGCCAACUGAAUUUUUUGAUAGCUAAGGUUUUCAGCAAAUUGUUUUUGGUUUAGUGUUUGAUACUCAGACGAUUGCCAGGAAAACACAGGAAGAAGUGAAUUUUAAGUGCUUGAAAGCCUCCUGACUCAGAAACAAACCUAAUUUUACCUAGUGUGUUUGCCACUUUUUAUCUCUUUUGAAAAGACUUAUAGGGAGGAAUGUACAUAAUCAGGAAAGGGCAUCUAUGCUCUGUACCUCCGAUUCUCCUUGACAGAUGCAAAAAGCUAAUUGGUAUUAGCAAAUGUGCCCAUUGAAAGCAAGCAUAUUUUAGUAACACAAGUGUACACUGUAGUGAUGGCAUUUGCUACAAUGUGCUCUGAAGAAAUGGAUUGGAAAUAAACAAAUAAAUAAAUAAAUAAAUAAUUCCACAGGAGGAAAAAAAUGCGUUCUGAAAGGAUCAGGAUUUUCAAAGCCCCCAAGCUUCAACAUAUCCGAGGAUCGAAGGCCUGAAUAAAGUGGCAUCACAGAAGUGUGAGAACAGCCUUUCCCCAUUCUCCGGAGUGGAUCCAUGAGCCAGGAGUCAGGCCUGCACUUUGAGGAGCGGAAGUGCUUUUGUGAGGACAAGCAAGAAUGUCUUGUAAUUUCAACUACCCUUAAAGCUGUUUCAGGGUUCCCUGAUAAUGAACUAACUGAUACUGGGACUUCCCUUCUCCAUCCCCCAAAGAAAAGCUGCGUUCCAACUCAACACCUCAUAGAACCAGAGCCCCCUAAUAUCCCUAGGUGUGGGCAGCUGGCAUUCCCCAACAUUCCCCUAACACCCAGCACCUAAGCUAAGAAUGCUUGGGGCCUGAACCCCAAAUGUUUAUUCAGCCAUGUAAAGCCACUUGCACACUUGUCCUAUAAAAAAGGAAAGCAACAGAAUGUUUUUCUCCUCUUGGAGCAGAGCCCCACAGUGAAUCUAGCAAUGCACUGGCUCAAACAUGCCCCCUUUUCAGCAGCAUGCUGAAAGAAAUAGGAUCCAUGCGUCAGCUGGAAUUUCUAUCUCUGAGUUUCUACCUAAACUAAGUGAUACUUUCUGUUAUUCCCAGUCACAUCAAAACAAAUGUGAGAUUCAAAUUUUAAACUGGGCUAUACUGUAACAAAUUAGACUUGACUCUUUUUGUUUUGUUUUGUUUAAAUAACAGAAAGUGACUAGAAAACUAUAGGAUCCACCUAAGAUGCUAAGACAUGGCAAAGUGAGACCAAACAUAGCACAACAAAUAGUUGGAGACAAAAUAAAAGCAUUUUACAUUUGUGCACUACAAUGUUCAGGCUAUUCAACACACUGAUUUCACACAUACAGUCCCAUUUAUUGCCAACAAUAACCCUGCAAAGUAGGUACUAUUAUUGGGCACAUUUUACAUAUAAAACGACUUAAAAUUAGAGGAGGUAGUAUAUAUUUUCCUAAUUUUUGGCAGCCCAGCAUCUAAAGCCCUUUUCUAUGCUUGAAGAAUGCCCUGCCUUAUGAGUGAGUCUUGCUGGAAAGAAGAGACCAGCUUCCAAUAUAAAAACUGAAAAUACCAAAUACUUUUCCCAUAUUCCCUGAUAACUAUCACACUGACAUUAGAAGAGUCUCCACCAACAGAUGUGAGCAUGCCAGUUUUCCCCAGAAUCUAAAGAUACAAAGAAAGAGGAUUUUUGUGGGAAACCACUCUGGUGAAAAUGCCAGUGGAAGUCCUACACUGAACCCGAUUUCCAGUGGCAAGAAUUUUAGUGGCUCCAGCAGCGAUGCCCAGUGCUCCGUGACUAUGGGUUCACAAUGUACACAAACUGGUUGGGCCACUGCAGAUGAAAGAGAUGGCUUCAAGUGCUCAGUUAUGUGUCUUGAUUGGUAAUGUGGCCAUUGGCUGGGUAAUGUCCACACUGCUUCUCUGGCCCUUUUGAAGUGUCUGUUAGCCAUAAUAACUAGAUUUAUUUUCUGAUUAAAUUAGCUAGAAUUAGGUUCUGACUGACUUAGGAUAAGUAAUUGCUCUCUGAUCACACAUAGAGCAAAUGAUGGAGCUGGAAUUCCAGUCUUCACUAGGUUAUACUGAAUGAUGAGAUAAUGUUAUGGGCUGAAUUCAUGUGUUGAAGUCCUCAUCUCCAGAACCUCAGAAUGUCUGUAUUUGGAGAAGAGUUUUUAAUGUUGUAAUUCAGUGAAAGUGAGGUCAGUAGGGUGGCUAUAAUUCAAUAUGACCUGAAUCCUUACGAGAAUGAAAAUCUGGACACAGAAAUCCGUGUGGGAGGCCAUGUGAAGACACGGAGAAAGCAUCCAUCUGUGAGCCAAAGAGAGAGGCCUCAGAAGAAACCACCCCUGCAGACACCUUGUAAUUGGACGUCUAGCCUUCAGAACUGUGAAACAGGAAAUUUCUGUUAUUUAAGCCACCCAGUCUAUGGUACUUUGUUAUGGCAGUCCUAAUAAACUAAUACCAGGAAUGAGGAAUACGAAAGAAUUCAAGAUGAUCUCAAAGUUGCUCAAUGAGGUGACUUUAGAAAAGAUGAAGGGUAUGAGAGGAGUAGCCAUUGCAGAAGGAGAACAAGAUCAUGAAUUCAAUUCAGAAAACUUUGAUUUUGAGACCUCUGCAGGAGAAAAUAAGAGAAAGCUUCAAAGGCCUAGCUUCCUUUAUAGAGUCCUGGGAGAGACCUAAAGUUGAGGAAUAGAGAGAAAAGGCACCUCUGGAUACUCACUGGCAUUGGAUCCAGCUCUGAGUUGCUUGCUUUCUGGGCUUCAGAAUGACAAAGCAGGUUUAUGCACAGAGUUUUUCAAUAAGCAAGUCCCCACUGAAGGUCACAGGCCUAUUUCAGCAGUGGGAGAAACCACAGUCAGCAGUAUUGGGCCAUGCAAGUGAAGGGUUGUUCACUGGAGAGGUUUGUUACCUUAUUGGGAAGAUGAAGUUUUCAUCCAGCAUUAAGCCUAUGGCUAUAAUUCAGGGAUGAGACAAGGGUGUUUGCAUUUGUUAGCAUGAAGACAAACAAAUCCAACACCCUUAGGUCAGAAUUUCAGCUUAACAUGGUAUCUUGUGCUUGAAUAUCCCUUGCAACCUCUCCUGACUUUCCACUUUCCAAAGUGAGUCUUUUAAAAUGCUCACGUUUUGGCUCACACCUGUAAUCCCAGCACUUUGGGAGGCCGAGGCGGGCGGAUCACGAGAUCAGGAGAUCAAGACCACGGUGAAACCCCGUCUCUACUAAAAUACAAAAAAUUAACCGGGCGUGGUGGUGGGCUCCUGUAGUCCCAGCUACUCGGGAGGCUGAGGCAGGAGAAUGACGUGAACCCCGAAGGCGGAGCUUGCAGUGAGCCGAGAUUUCGCCACUGCACUCCAGCCUGGGCGACACUGCGAGACUCCGUCUCAAAAAAAAAAAAAAAAAAAAAAAAAAAAAGGCCACGUUUAUUGGUCUUAUGCCUAUAAAAAAAGUCUAUGUGGACAACCACUCAUUGAUUCAAUAAAUAAUGCUUAAGUGCUUACUCUGUGCCAGGAUUCUGAAAGGCACUGUGGGUAAAUGGUAGGCAAAUCUAAACCUGGUCCUGCCUUCAGAGAGUCUACUGUUUGAACGGAAAAAGAAGAGAAUGAGGCCAAACAAGAGGUUGUUCACCUGAGGAAAUGGAUGGGAGCUGGGCAAGCCUACCUGGCAGAGGCUCACCUGGCUGAGUACCUAUGAAAUUGCCAUGGAUGAUCUCAAAAUUCAAAGAAAAGUCCAGUGCAUAUAAAUAAAAACCUUGAAAACACAAAUUCAUAGGCAAAAGGCUGAGAGGCCACAUAAAUUACUUUUAGUGAAAACAACAAAUAAUAUUAGUAUUAUUUCUGUUUCAGUAUUCAAGGCAGUGGUGAUGGGAACUUGAGGGCAUGAGAAUCAGGGCAAAGAGAAUUACUGAAAGAGUAAAACUAUCUUAAAGAUGUGAGGUUGGCCACUGAUGGAGAGGACAAGCAGGACAGGGAUCGGGGGACCAAAGUCCAGCUGCACUGACUCCAUUCAGCUCUGCUCUGUUCACCCUCAUCCCAAACCUGUCCCCAUCCCCAGACAAAUAGAAGCUGUGGACAAAGAUUGUUUUUGCCCUCCACAUCUCCAAUACUCUGUUUUCAAAUGACUGCAACCAACCCAACAAAAGAACUCACUUAACAUAUUAGUAGUAUCUUAAAUGAUGCAAUUUUAUCUUGUCCAUGAAAUAGCUUCAAUUAAAACAAAUUAUCUCUUUCCAUUCAUAGCUUAAUUCAUAUAGCACAUCUGAUAGAGCCUUUUUAAAUGCUCACUUUUAUUGGUCUUAUUUCAAAAUUAAUUCAUGUUUAUAGUCUAGCAUUUAGAAAAUUCCAAGGCAAAGCAGGCUACAUUUGUGUGUUUCCUCUUGGUGUCUCCAGUGCCCCAUGCCGCCACUGCACAGAGGACAUUAAGCAUUGAACACAGAGAACUAAACCACUUAAGGAACCACCCAUAAUCUCAAUACCAAUAGAUACUUACCCUCACUUUUUUGAUAUGUUUUUUCCAGUCACUUGUGUAUGUAAGCAUACAUACAAAAACAGGUGUGUGUGUGUGUGUAAAAAUGUGUGUUUACAGAGUUCGUUUUACAGGAAAGCACAAAGUCAGAUAGUUGUUAUCGGGCACCUAUGGGAAAUGUCAUAGGAGACUAAAGAUGAGACGAAAACUUUGGGACCACCACUCUUAAUCAUCCUAAUACUUGAUCUUUCCAUGGCUACCCUGAGAUAGAAUAAAUGGCUUUUGUAAAACAACUUAAACCUCAUCUCCUUAAUUGAGGUAUCCUGCUUUCUUACUCUUAUUUACGUGUCUAAGUCAGGGAGAAACAUCCCAUUAUGUCACAAAUAAGAUUAAAGGUAGUUGUAAUUAAAUUUCACCAUGUGCCCUGAGUUUUCCCACCUGAGAAUUAUAAGAAAAAAAUCAAAAGGUCUUCUCCUCUUACUAGACUACCCACCAAAUGGUCAUUACAUUUUCCUGUAGGCUGCAGAUAAAAUCUCUCUAUCAUAAGUCUCCCAAUCACCAAGUGAGAAAACACCACUCUGGGGUCCAGGGAUGUGUAGGCAAUUGAAGAGUUUCUCUUUUAAGAAUGGCAGCUCAUUAGGGUAAGUGUCCAAGAACAUAAUGAAAAAAUUGUGGUAUAUUUAUACUGGGGGAUAUGCCAGAUUAAAAAACGAACACAUUUGAGUUACAGAUAGCAACAUGGAUAAAUCUCUAAUGCAGAAUUUUAAUAAGAAAAAGGCAUAUUGCAGAAUUAUAGGUGCAGUAUAAUACCAUGUAUAUAAAGUUUAAACACAAAAACAUGCUAUAUAUCUUUUAUGGAUAUAUCCUUGUGCAGUAAAAAAUAUAAAAUAUGCAUAAGAAUGACAAAGACAAAUUUUAGAGGAUUUAUUCCCUUAGGGAGAAAAGGAAACGGCAUCACAAGGAUUACAAGAUUUGAAUUGAAUCUACAAUAUUUUAUUCCUUAAGCUGAGUAGCGGGUACAUGGGUGUUCAUAUACUCAAAACCAUUUUUGGCACAUGAAAUAUUUUAAAAUUUUUUAAAAAGCUAGAUAGUAUGAUUGACAUCUUCAGAUACUUGAAGAUCUGGCAUGUUGAUGAUGGAAAGUAUCCUAUGACUAAGUAGGUAAAGCUAUUAUGAAGGCAAAUUUUAGGUCAUUCUUAGGAAAAACCUAAAAGGGCUGUCUAAAAAUGAACAGUGUCUUCUACAUGAUUAAGGAGUAAAACAGAGUUAAGGUCUUCGGAGGUAGCAAGUCACAGUGCAAGUAGAGUUCACUUGUCUUUGUCUUGAAAGCAAAGAUUUCUUUUCUCUUGCAAAAUUCCCGGGACAUAUCCUGAUAAAGCUUUACAUCUCAGCAGCAUCACUCUGAUUGCUCUUUUUUCAGUUGGUGUCAUUGGAAGCCCCUAAACCCUAUUUAACUUCAGUGCCAUUGACUGGCACUUCCUGCCACUUACAUCUUUGCCAUUUGGCAGUGCCUGGGUUGGACAGAUCUGCCACCUGGUUCUGGUUCUGCAUUAUUGUCAUUCCUUGUGCCAGUCAUAAGGAUUCACUGGCACCCCUCUGAGAUUAGGAGUUCUCCAGGUCUGGAGAUAUUAAAAAAGAGAGAGAUGGUCAGCGAUGCUAUAGAAGGGAUUUUAGUAGUCUCUGGUAUGCUGGAGCACAUAACCUUUGAGUAUGGAUUUCCAUAUUCAUUUAUUCAAGAAAUGUUUAGUGAGUGUUUACUUUGUGCAAAGCACCUUGCUCGUUAAGCUUCUAUGGCUCUAGAAUUUGUCUUUGAAAAUGCGUCUCUAACUUUACAGAAAUGAAAAUUGAGACAUGAUGGGAAAACUUAUUUUAAGCAAACAAUAAGGCAGGCAGGCAGGCUGUGGUUUGCAGACCGACCACUUCUAGCCUUAUUGCCAAGAGCACUACGAGAGUCACAGGAACAUUUUGGAGAUAAUGUUACAUUCACAGACUUGUACAUGUCUUACAGUGAAAGACACCCCAGAGGUUAUCCAAUUCAAAUACUUCAUUUUACAGACGAGGAAACAAAAGCCUGGGGAGGUAUGUGGCUAACUGAUUGCAGAAUCUAUUCUCAGAUAUGGUAUUUCCUUCCCAACCUUGAAAGUUGUGUUCCUGAAAACCUCCAUGGAAGGAGAAAUUACACUUGAGGAACUUACGACCUUAGGAAGAAAAUAGAGUUUGGGGAGUAAGAUAGUGAGUGAAUCUGAGAAAGUUAUCAUCAUUGUUUUAUAUCUACUAAUAAAACAAUGUAGGUACCAUUGAUACCCACUUUAUUUUAUGCCGAACGCAUUUGUAAUGGUGAAUCUUGUACAGGUGAUUUUAUUUACUUCUUAGAAUUCCUUAUUAACACUUCUCUAGGCUCUCUAUACACAAUUUUUGUAAAACUUCUUGUGAGUCAUUGCCUUUUUGUGUAAAUACUGGUUACAAUGGAUUGUUUUCUGUUUCAGGUCCUGUUGUCUCUGCCUUUUUGCAUCUUUGACAUUAUCAUUGUAACUUAUAACUUCUAACCUCUACUCUGACUCAACUUGGUUGUUUCCUGAUUCCUCUCUCUCCUUCUUGCUGUUCCUUCUCUCUGCUGUCCUUUAACUGUAGCUGCUCACCAGGACUAUGCUGUAAACUUUCACCUCCUCUCACUGUUUACUCUACCUAUGUAACUAUCAUGUUUGAUAAUGAGGUCCUGCUGAAUAAGCCUGUUUGCUGUCUUUCCAGGCUGUGCUUUCCCACUCCUGCAGCUACUGCCUUAAUUCAGGUUAUCACUGUCUCUCACUAGGACCCCUGCACUAAUCUCCUUGAUUGGUCAAAGGUUUCAUUAUUUGCAUUGUGCUCUGAGUGAAAUUUUCUUAUGACGGCUUACAGUUCCCAGUGGCUGCAUGUGCCUAUAGAACACUAACUUCCUAAGCAUUUCAUCCAAGGCCCUCCACCUUAGCUCUUGUACCCUUUACUCCAGCCAUAUUUAUUGACCCUACUUGAUGGCCUAAUGUACCAGACUAUUUGGCAUCUUCAUGCCUUUGUGAACUGACUUUUCUUCAUCAGGAAUGCCCUUCACUCUGCCCCUCUCACGCUACCCAUUUCCCCUCCCACGUGCAAUCACCUGCCUGGUGAACAUCUACUCUUCCUCGAAAACUUUGCUCAUACCAUCACCUCUCCCUUGGAGGUACCACUUCCUACUCCUACUUUCUGCUCAUCUCGUACCUCAUUAAAGAGAAUAGGAGGUUCCCACCACAAAAUCUGAAAGCCUCCUGCCACAAAACCUGUCUUCUUCCCUCUGUGCAACUGAAUGUGACUCCUUGUAAUCAAAUGCUCAUCCCUCAAUUCAUGUUGGGAAUCCCAUCUCUCUCACUUUCUCAAGAAGUUCAAUGCUUCUGUCAGACUGUCUCCAGUCAAUUAUUCCCAUCAGCAUAUAAACAUAAUCCAGUAUUACUGUCCUAACCAAUACUCCAUAUUGAUCCACAUCCCUUUCCAGCUACCAUUCUUUUCUGUCUUUCACAAUAAAAUUCCAUAAAAUAGUUGUGUACACACAGCACUUUUAUGUUUUCACUUCACAGUCACUUUGGAAUUCACUUCAAAUUGGCAUUCACCCACAUGACCCAGUUGGUCACUAAUGACCUUUAUAGUGCUAUGUCCACAUUUUCAUCUCACUAGAACUUUCAGCAACAUCCAACAAUUGACCAUUCUCUUCUCAAAAUUGGCCAUUCUCUUCUUGAAAUUGUUCUUGGCUUACAUGAUUCCAUAUUUCCCUGGUCUUUUAUCUGCUUCUCUACCUGCUCCUCCUAAGCCUCUGUUGUGUCUUUUCUUCCACUUUCUAUAAUACCUCUAAGUAUUGAAUUUCCUCAGUAUUCUGCUCUGAACCCCAUGCCUUAUGUUUCCAUAAAUAAUCUCAUUCAUCCUCAUGGCUUAAAAUACCAAUUCCAAGCCAAUGACUCCUAUGUCUGUAUCUCUAGUCCUAACCUCUCCUCUGACCUCCUGACUUAUACUCUUGUCUUUAUAACACCCACUUAUGAAUGCUUCAUGGACAUCUCACAUAAAUAUAUCCAAGACUGCAUUUUUAUUUCCCUCUGAAAACCUAGUCCUCCUUCCAUCCUCCCCACCUCCCUUUUUUGGCAACAUUAUCCACGCUGUUGAUCAGGUCUGGAUCCUGGGAGUCACUAAUUAUUUCUCCCUGUAUUUCUUCCUCUAGUCCAAUUCGUCACUAAGUCUGAUCAUCUGUCUCCUAAAUGCAGCAUAAGGAGAUCCACUUUUCUUUAUCGUUACUGCCACAUUGUAGUUUGAUCUACUAUUAUUUUAAACUUAACAACCACAAUACCUUCAAACUGAUCUCCAUGCACACAGAACACAGUGACUCUCAUCCUUAAUUGAAUCUCUACACAGCCACAGAAACAGUCUUUCUUGAAACAUAAAUCCCAGCAUGACACUGCCUGACAUGCAAUCUCUCUUUGCACUUUGUCUUAGUCCAGGUACAUCAGUGUUGCUAUAAGUCCUGUUGGUCAGCCUCCUGCCCCGUACCCUAAGCUCAUCUUACAUCAGCGAGUCCUCACUCUCCACUCUCUAGACUGACUCCUGAUGUUUUCUCAAGCAAGUUGAUUUCUUUCUCAUCUUAAUCCUUCACAGGUGGUACAUAGUGCUUCCCGAGUUUAGAUCUCCACUCUCCCUUAUGUUCUCAUAAAGGAUUCAUAUGUCCUUUAGGUCUUGGCUUAAAUGCCAUCUAUUCAGAGAAGCCUUCCCUGGCGACCUUAUCUGAGUCAAUCUUCCAUUGUUAUAUUGUUAUAUUGAUUUGCUUUGUUUCUUGCUACUUCUUCUACUUGACUCGGUAGAAGGCUCUGCAUAAUUGACCAAAAUAUAUACAGUGUUUUUCAGAGUGCUAGUCACCUAUUAGUACUGAAGAAUUAUUUGUUGAAUAACUUAAUGAUUUUUUUGCAGUUACACGAGUGUUGUUUUGAUUGACUGAAAAUAGAUUGCCUAAGAUGACAUGAAAGAUCAAAGGUGAAGAGUGGAAGAUAGCACCACUUUGGGUUAAAAGUUUACUUAAGUCAGCAACUCCUCAAGAAACAGCUACCAGCAUUCCUGGGACUAUUAUGCCCUGGUCUACUUGUAGCCUGUUUGUAUUCCAGCCUACUUUGGCACCUUGCCGUCUCUGCUUACCGACUUUCUGCAUAAGAGUGAAAUAGAAAGUGACUUGGAACCAUGUAUACCUAAAGUGUGACAUUUAAAAAAACGUCCUCAGAAAAACUAAUAUCCUGGUUAUUUUUGAAUGUGCUAAGAGACUCUUUUUUUUAAUCUUGUUUUUUUAUUUUGAAUAUAGAGCACAUUGAGGUUUAAAAUGGAAAAUUCUAUUAAAAAUAAAAGGCAUACGUUUACAUAUCUUACAAUUACCUCUGCUUCUGUCCCUCCCAUUCCUUAUGAG